UACAGAGGGGGCUAGCGUUGUUCGGAAUUACUGGGCGUAAAGGGCGCGUAGGUGGCCUGUUAAGUCGAACGUGAAAUCCCCGGGCUCAACCCGGGAACUGCGUCCGAGACUGGCAGGCUCGAAUCCGGGAGAGGGAUGUGGAAUUCCAGGUGUAGCGGUGAAAUGCGUAGAUAUCUGGAGGAACACCGGUGGCGAAGGCGGCAUCCUGGACCGAGAUUGACGCUGAGGCGCGAAAGCCAGGGGAGCAAACGGG
rnacentral:rRNA from 1 species